AUUGAACGCUGGCGGCAGGCCUAACACAUGCAAGUCGAACGAGUGGCGGACGGGUGAGUAAUGUCUGGGAAACUGCCCGAUGGAGGGGGAUAACUACUGGAAACGGUAGCUAAUACCGCAUACCAUCGGAUGUGCCCAGAUGGGCUUAGCUUGUAGGUGAGGUAAUGGCUCACCUAGGCGACGAUCCCUAGCUGGUCUGAGAGGAUGACCAGCAACACUGGAACUGAGACACGGUCCAGACUCCUAGGGGAGGCAGCAGUGGGGAAUUUUGCACAAUGGGCGAAAGCCUGAUGCAGCCAUGCCGGGUGUAUGAGGAAGGCCUUCGGGUUGUAAAGUACUUUCAGCGGGGAGGCGUUACCAGCAGAAGAAGCACCGGCUAACUCCGUGCCAGCAGCCGCGGUAUAC
rnacentral:rRNA from 1 species